AGCCGGGCGAACCCUGGUCGUACCUCGUUUUCUCUCGUUGCCUCACUACCGGUCCCCGCCCUCCAGCUGCGUGGGAAAGCCGCGCGUGAACCGCGGCCCCGCCCACCCGUGAGAACCUCGGGGGAAAGGAAGUGCGUGUUUGCCGGAGUUCCUGGUUCAGAGCGGGAGGCCGAUUAAACCGUUGAACGUUUUUGUCGUUCCCGACUGCCUUCCUUUUUCCCCCCGCACCCAGGCAGAGCAUGGGCUCCGAAGGCAAGGAUUCGCCUCGUCCUGAGCCUGCAGCUGGGGCUGGCUCUCGACUUGGGCCGAGGCAGCCCGGGCUGGAGGGGGCUUGGCGGGGAAGCCGGCACCUGAUGUCUCAGUUCGCCAUGCCCCCCACAUCUGACGUGUUGAGUCAAGAUGAACUGCGAAAAAAGCUAUACCAGACGUUUAAGGAUCGGGGUAUACUGGACACGCUCAAGACACAACUCCGGAAGCAGCUGAUUCAUGAAUUGAUGCACCCUGUCGUGAACGAAGAGGUGCAGCUCCAGUCCGUUCCAGUGGAAGGGAGUGCCCUCCUGAUAGGCACCUCUAACUCUCUGGUGGCAGAUCACUUGAAGAGAUGUGGCUAUGAGUAUUCGCUUUCUGUUUUCUUUCCGGAAACUGGUGUGGCCAAAGAAAAGGUAUUUACUAUGCAAGAUCUGUUAGAACUCCUCAAAAUCAACCCUGAAUCCGGUCUCUACAAAUCACUGAUGUCAGGAUUUGAUAACAAAAACAAAAAAGGUUUUCUCAUGGAGUUUUUAAAAGAAGUGGCAGAGUAUCAUCAGUCCAGAGCGAGCUGUGAUGUGGGAACUCAGACAAGUUCCACGUUGCCUGGCCAAGACUCACUUGUGGAGAAGCUUCAGCUUAUUGAUGAUCAGUUUGCAGGUGCUUACCCUCAGCGUCCAAAGUUAGAAUGCUUAGAAGUAAAGUUAAAUGAAUAUAAAAGAGAAAUAGAACAGCAGCUUCGGGCAGAAAUGUGUCAAAAGUUAAAGUAUUUUAAAGAUACUGAAGUAGCAAAAAUUAAGAUGGAAGAGAAAAGAAAGUCUGAGAGGGAAUUGGCUGAGUUCCGGAACGAAUUGGAGAGAGCUUGUCGAGCAAAAUCUGACGCCCUUAUUUCUCGGGAGAAGUUGGCUUUUGAGAGAAUUCAGAAGCACCAAGAGAUUGAAACCAAGGAGAUUUAUGCUCAGAGACAACUUCUCCUCAAAGAUAUAGACAUGCUAAGAGGCAGAGAAGCAGAGCUGAAACAAAGAAUGGAAGCUUUUGAAUUGGCUCAACGGCUACAAGAAGAAAAAAAUAAAAGAGCAACUGACGCCCUUAGGAAACGGGAGUUGAAUGUCCAGAAUAUCGAGGAGACCUAUGACCAAAAGCUCAAGAAUGAGCUGCUCAAGUAUCAACUUGAACUCCAGGACAACUAUAUUGCUAGAACUCACAGGCUGAUAGAAGAUGAAAGGAAGAAUAAAGAAAAAGCUAUACAUUUGCAAGAGGAGCUCACAGCUAUUAAUGCGAAAAAGGAAGAAUUUGGUCAUUCUGUAAAACGUGUCAAAGAGCUCGAGCUGGAGUUAGAGUCGGUCAGAACCCAGUCUUUGGCGAUAAGCAAGCAAAACCACCUGCUGAGAGAAAAGGUGAAAGAAAUGAGUGACUAUUCGCUACUGAAACAAGGGAAACAGGAGCUUCAGGCGCAAAAUAAAUUACUUAAACAACAGCUGGAAGAGACCAGAAGUGAGAACUUGCGUCUUCUAAACCACCUGGCUCAGCCUUCUCCAGAGCUGGUGGCUUUUCAGAAAGAACUAAAGAAAGCAGAGAACGCUAUCGUGUGUGAGCAUAAGGAGUUCGAGACCCACAGGCAGGCCCUGCAGAAGCAGCUGCAAAGUGAAAUUGAACGUUCUGCACAGCUGAAGGCCCAGAUCCUCGAUUACGAAGAUUCCGUAAAGAGGUUAACGAGAGAGGUGGCCGAUUUGAAAUUGCAACUGACACAAACCCAGACGGCCCUAGAGAACGAGGUGUACCGCAACCCAAAGAACUCUCUGCUCGAUCGGCCCAUCAGCGGAUUAAUGGGUGGCAACGUGGUGGUACCUCACAACGGUGACCUGAACGGGGAUUUCUUGAAAGAUGCUUUCGGACUGGAAAGGCUGAUGGCAGGCAUGCUUCUGUCGAGGAUCGCAAGUGACCCAAGUGCGAGCGCCGGGAGUAGUUCCCCUGAUUCUGACCUGGAGUUUGUAGCCAAGACCAAGGCAAGGGUGAAAGAGCUAGAGCAAGAGGCCGAACGUUUGGAGAAAGCUUUCCGAACUUACCAUCCAAGGGUUCAUCCACGCCCCACGGGAAGGUCUUCAGCCAAGAGCCCGCCACCCCUGCAUGCGACAGGAACGCUCAAAAAGACCACUUCCGGCUUCCCUGGAAGACGUACUUCCGCAGAGGACGCGGCUGUCCCCGAGCAGCCUCUGGCAGGCACACCCGAGGAGGACAGGAGCAGCGCUUCGGCUUCUGAGGCGCGGCCGCGCAAGGGCACGCCCUCCAGACGCCUCUCCUCCACUUCCCUGCCCAAGGCCAAGAGGAGCCUCCUUGCUAAAGUGUAUCUGGAAGGUGGGGACAGAUCCCGUGCUGCUGGCUGCAUUCCUGGUCCUGAGACAACGCCCCAGCCAUCACCCUCUGAGUCCGGGCACAGCCCUUCCCUCCACCUGCUGCCCAGCCCUCCGGAGCAGGCCAGUCUUCAUCAGAGACAGACAGAACUUGAAGAACAAGGAGAACUUUCAGAUCCAGACAAGCUACCUUUUAAGGACAAUGAGGAAUUUGGAUCAUCUUUUGAAUAUGCAGGGAGCACGCUGAGGCAGUUUGAGGUGGACGGCCUCCAUCCUGCUGGCGACGUGCCUCACGUGGGUGCCGCCGCCGCCGCGGUGUCUGCCGGACCUCUCGCUUGCUGCCACCCUGGUACUGUACGUUACAAUAAAUGGCUUCUUAAAUUACUAUUAAACGGUGGGGUUACGUUUUGAUCGUUGAGGAACUCUCAGAUCUGUUGUUGUUUCACGUCGUCUUCUGGGCGCCAAGGGAGGUAAAGCCUAAAACUUACUAUCUUUGUGCCAGUGGAAACCGUGCUUUUCUUGGCUCUUCCAUCCGAAGAGGUUUCCCUCUGCCACUCUGGAGCCACCAAGUACACCUCGCAGCGAAGGAGCCCUUUCCUCAUUGUCUCUUGAAAUCUUCCCCCAAACGGCAUCCUCGCCCUGAGGUCGCCGCUCCGUACGAGUGACGUGCCUCCAGCGAGGAGGCUGCGUUUCUGCCUGUGCAAGUGGCCAGCGGCCGCCUCUGGGGUUCGAAUUUCAUGACCAGGAUCAAGUGGAGACUGUGCUGCCGCUCUCCUGUGGGAGACGCUAACUUUUGGUUGGUGACUAGAGCACAGCCACGAGGCUGGAAGUCCCGUCGUGAAUCUGUGCUUGUCUGUGUUAGCCUUGCUGCGAAAGCUGAGGUUCUGGACCAGAGCUGGAGGAGAGAGGUCAGCGUAGUCCUCUGUGGAACUGAGAUCAAGUUAAACACGUGAGGCGUGGGGACGUGUGUUGGCAGCCUAGAGAACAGGCGAUUCAAACCCGGACCUUGGCCGGAAGGGACAGAAGUAGGGAGACGGGUGCUUAUGGGUCUUGACAAGGCAGGGACAAGGUACUGUGUGAAUAUGGCGCUGAAGGGGCCACUUGUCACUGUAGGAAUGAGGAGCUCACAGAAGAUGUGGCAUUCAGGUGAGGGCUGGCAUCCUGGGUGGGGCUUGGGGGAAGGGAGCACAUCUGCUUGAGGAGGACGUGCGAGCGGGUAGCAGGGCAGACGGCGCUGUACUCGGGCACCCGUGUGCGUGCCGGUGCCUAGACAGGAGGUUUCGGACGUGAACGUUCAGGUGAUCCAGGAGGUCAGGCAGGAAGGGAAAAGGCAGUUUGGCACUCGACCGCCACGGGUUUGGAUUCCACCGGAGCGGAGCGUGUGCACAGCACAUCCGGAAGUGACUGGUGCUCACGCAGGUGAAGGUGGGCUGCCUGGAGGCCUGGAGAGACCUUGGUCACGGAGACCCUUGACCAAGUGAUGUCGGCCACCCGGGUGAACGGUGAUGAGGACCUGAACUGCAGCAGGAGGAGGAAGAGGAAAGUGUGUAGAUCAGAAACCAGUGGGAGAACAGAAGGAAGAAGAAAAAAUAUGGGAACAGCACAUGACAGAACAAAAGCAAAGAGAAGAAAUAAGGAAGAGUGAACUGCAAGAAGCUUUAGAAAGGGAACGAAGAGAACUA